CUGAGCUGGUUAUAGUGUUGUUUUUCAGGUUUCAACACCUAGAAAUAGCAUAAAAUUAGGCAUACUCGGAAAUUCCUUUCCUGCUUCUUGGCGAUACCUAUCCUCUUGUUUUUAUAUGGCCUACGUAGGCCUGUUUAAGUCUCAAGUCUUUAGCUUUGAAAGGCGGAUUGAACAACUUUUGAUGUGAAUUUAACAACAAGCAUUGCAACACCUUGAUAAAGGCACUGUGGAGUAUAGAAUGUUAGAUUAAUUUCUGAAAUGCAUGCAUGUUUUAGAAAAAGUAGCUAGUGCUUUACCUUGCAAUGCUUUCAGUCAACUCGUAAGGGAAUAAGGUGAUCAGUUUGUCCGUUUGCUUUCCUGAUUAGGUCAGGAAAAAAGGAAAAACUCACCUAUACGACUCCAGGUUGAAGACAUGGUUGGCACCUUGACUGACACGAAUAGCACCCAGGGACAAACACAGCAAUGGCGUUAUCAUCUCAUCAGGCCCCACAUUUUCCUCCAUAGUUGGACUGGUUGGGUCGUAACACCUGUCAUUCAACCCUGGGCUGGAUAUCCAGAACCAGGAAUGGACUCAGCAUCGUCACAAAAUAAAGAAAGGUUUAAAGGCACGCAGUACAGCUUUUCUAU